rnacentral:rRNA from 1 species
UUCGAAUGGGCAAAGCCUGACGGAGCGACGCCGCGUGGAGGAUGAAGGCCUUCGGGUUGUAAACUCCUUUUCCUGGGGAAGAAUAAGGCCGGUAGUAACUGACCGGUCGAUGACGGUACCCAGGGAAUAAGCCCCGGCUAAUUACGUGCCAGCAGCCGCGGUAAUACGUAUGGGGCGAGCGUUGUUCGAAUUUACUGGGCGUAAAGGGCUUGUAGGUGGUGAGAUAAGUCGGAUGUGAAAUCCCCGGGCUUAACCCGGGAACUGCAUUCGAAACUAUCUUGCUAGAGUACCGGAGAGGGAAACGGAAUUCCUGGUGUAGGGGUGAAAUCUGUAGAUAUCAGGAAGAACACCGGUGGCGAAGGCGGUUUCCUGGCCGGAUACUGACACUGAGGAGCGAAAGCUAGGGGAGCAAACAGGAUUAGAUACCCUGGUAGUCCUAGCUGUAAACGUUGUGCACUAGGUGUAAGUGGUUUCCCCACUUGUGCCGCAGCUAACGCAUUAAGUGCACCGCCUGGGGAGUAUGCUCGCAAGGGUGAAACUCAAAAAAAUUGACGGA